AUGACCUCCGUAGGUGUUCUUACAUCUCCUGAAUGGAUGAUUCUCUUUGCAUUUCGGCCGCUCGGCCCACUUCCAAUGAUCCACUACAUCAUCACUGUUUGCGGAGGAUCACAGGUGUACUGCCAGCAGUUUCAAUUUAACCGGGUGGUUGCCAUCAUCGUGAGACUACCAACUGGAGGAGCUGAAACGGCUCUUUAUUCCAGCCGUAUCCGAUGCCCCGAGCCGGAACUUUCAGGCCACCUACAGCACACGGUGCUCGCGGCGCGCCGUUGGCGCCGGCGUCGGCGGGGACACGGGAAGUCUGAGGUCUCGGGGGUGUGUCUUGUGCUUAAUUUUUGA
rnacentral:rRNA from 1 species